AGCUCCAAUAGCGUAUAUUAAAGUUGUUGCAGUUAAAAGCUCGUAGUCGGAUUUUGGCAUCACGCCGAACUGUCUGCCGAUUGGUAAGUACGGUUUGGCGGGUGCUUCCUUCCGGAGGCUCGUUCCCUUCUUAACUGAAGGGUUCGUUGGUUCCGGUUCUUUUACUUUGAGAAAAUUAGAGUGUUCAAAGCAGGCCUAUGCUCUGAAUAGGUUAGCAUGGAAUAAUAGAAUAGGACUUUGGUUCUAUUUUGUUGGUUUCUAGGACCGAAGUAAUGAUUAAUAGGGACAGUUGGGGCAUUCAUAUUCCAUUGUCAGAGGUGAAAUUCUUGGAUUUGUCAAGGAUGAACGACUGCGAAAGCAUUUGCCAAGGAUGCUUUCAUUGAUCAAGAACGAAAGUUAAGCACG
rnacentral:rRNA from 1 species